CAGGUCUUUUUCUGUGGCCUUGGUUGCAAUCUAUUUGUGUGAACGAUGCCCCAGUUUACAACUCUAGGUGCAAGUCUGAAAUAUGUAGGCCACUUUUCAACCUCAUCAACCUACCCAUCCCUACCAUCAGGUACCCAAUGCAAGUCCAAGGAAUCCAAUCAAGAUAAGAGGCUGCACCCACUAUCAAAGAGCCAGUUUUCUCCUAUGGUUUCUUCAAAUGCAGAAGCUACCUGGAAUACUUGAAGUUCUACCUGGAAUACUUGAAGUUCCACAGUCUCUCUGGUAUGACCUUUAAAUAUCACACUUAAAAGAAAAAAAAAGUGUAAAGUGCAACUUUCCCCCCCUAACCCCAGGAACUUACUUUCAUUGGAGAUAACAG